UACGAAGGGGGCUAGCGUUGCUCGGAAUCACUUGGGCGUAAAGGGUGCGUAGGCGGGUCUUUAAGUCAGUGGUGAAAGCCCGGAGCUCAACUCCGGAACUGCCAUUGAAACUGUUUAGCUUGAGGACGAGAGAGGUGAGUGGAAUUCCCAGUGUAGAGGUGAAAUUCGUAGAUAUUGGGAAGAACACCGGUGGCGAAGGCGGCUCACUGGCUCGUAUCUGACGCUCAGGCGCGACAGCGUGGGGAUCAAACAGG
rnacentral:rRNA from 1 species